GCCAGCAGCCAUAUCACCCUGCAGCUCUCAAGUGGGUACCCACUGAAGCUAAGCAGGGUUGAGGGUCUGUACCUGGAUGGGAGUCCUCCUGGUAAGCUAUGGAUGCUGCUGGAA
rnacentral:rRNA from 1 species